AUUGAACGCUGGCGGCAGGCCUAACACAUGCAAGUCGAACGAGUGGCGGACGGGCGAGUAAUGUCUGGGAAACUGUCCGAUCGAGGGGGAUAACUACUGGAAACGGUAGCUAAUACCGCAUACCAUCGGAUGUGCCCAGAUGGGAUUCGCUAGUGGUGGGUGUAAUGGCUCACCUAGGCGACGAUCCCUAGCUGGUCUGAGAGGAUGACCAGCCACACUGGAACUGAGACACGGUCCAGACUCCGACGGGAGGCAGGAGUGGGGAAUAUUGCACAAUGGGCGCAAGCCUGAUGCAGCCAUGCCGCGUGUAUGAAGAAGGCCUUCGGGUUGUAAAGUACUUUCAGCGGGGAGGCGUUACUCGCAGAAGAAGCACCGGCUAACUCCGUGCCAGCAGCCGCGGUAAUAC
rnacentral:rRNA from 1 species